UCUCAGAGGUGCUGGAUUGGAACUGAACACAACCAUUCUUUGGCCCUGUGUCACCUACACAACGAAUCCAAGUACUUGAAUUCAAGUAUUUUUGAGGUGUAUUUAUUAUGUACAAGCCACCGUUCCAGAUGAAGAUGAACAACAAAUGAUCUUUGCCUUGGCCUACAGGUGGGAGAGUGGAGGCGUUUACUCCCGCAUCUGUAUUUGAUUAGAAACCUUCUCGUGGUCAUACUGCGGAUGAGAUCAAGAUCGUGAGGGUCAAAUGAAAUAAUGGUGUUUCGAUGUCCUAAGCAUCUUGCAGCAUCAGAAACAGGCCAUUUAAGUGGUACCCAAUGUGGUGGAGAUCUGAAAGCCAGAGCAUCAAUUUGACAAAUGCAAGUCAUGAGAGAUUAUGAUUCACUCUAAGGCAAUUCUUCAAAAAUCGUCCAUCAGGACACUUCUGUCCCUCUCUGGCCAUCUGCUUGGGCUUAGGUAAGUACUGGAACUUCAGAAUGAUUAAGGACAGAGGAGGAAGAAAAUGCUUUGUGCUUGGAAGCUAAGGAACUCAGUCCUGAAAGAGGACAAGGAGAAAAAUGGAUGAAUGAAGGCUCCUGCUCCCUGGGCCCCAAGCUGUGUGAAGACUUCUCAUGACCUUCUGUGGCUUGGCCUGCCCACUGCCCCUCUGCACACAGAAGCCAGCUCUUUCUUCUGGAGAAUCACAUCUCUCUGAUGCUGAUCUUACGGUUUGGAUGGAGACUGCACUCUGUGGGGGACUCAGGUCCAACCAAGGAGAAGUCCACAUCCCUUUGGCCACAAUAAUUAAUUCUGGGGUGGGCCUUUCACCAAUGCCAGAUCAAACAGAGACAAUCUGGAGGAUCUUACUCAAAUUCUUGGAGAGGAAUCAUUUCUUUCUGCUGGGACUGCUACACUGGGACUGCUAUACCAAGAGCUGCUGGAGGUCAUCUAUCCUGCCAGAGAUCAAAGCCAAUACAAAGGAAAACAGAACCAGGAGAUGAAUAAUGCCUCCUGAUGAUACCACACACGUGUCUGGAUCCAACUAUACCUGAAACCAGAACCUCUUGGAUGCUUGUUAAAUGAACAAAUAUUCUCAAAUUUUUUUUUUUGCUCUGAGCUUUUAUUUUAAAUAAAUAAAAGUCUGAUAAAUAAUAAAUAAAAUAAACAUAUUUUAA